CUUGGGGAUUUGCAGCUAAUGUAAGAACCAAAUGCUAUUUAAAAAAAAAAAUGUUUUUUAAUACUUUUAAGUGUUUUUUGCACACUUUUGAAAUAUAUUUUUACUUUAUCUGCACAUGCAAAGAUAGGUCACGUGUAAUAAUGAUUUCCUAAUAUAAAUAAAGAGGGAACUAGUUAAAAAAAAAAUUGAAUAAGAAUUCCUUGAGAAGGGGAGAUGAUUAGUCUGAAAUGGGUCCACGUAUAAUGAGCAAAAACCUCCCAGGCGAGCAGCCCCAGGGCCAGAGAAUGGGAGACAAGCCUUAAAGUAUAGCUGUAGUUGAGACGGUCCUAUUUGGGCAGGGGUGAAAAAUGCUCCAUCGGGAGAUCUAUAUUCAGAAAAAUCAUGAGAUGUAUUAAGAUAAACAAGACUAAAACUGAAAAUAUGUUAACCUAUCUUUGAUCAUUAGUCCUUAAACAACAGAGAAGUACUUCUGUUGUCAAAAGUUCAAUCAGGUCACAAGCACACCAGCUGCAUUUGCUGUCAAUCGUCACUGGAAUGAAUGAUUUGAGUUUUCUGGGCCAAUGAAUGUUUCAGUAGAGUCGGCGAAAACUUAGAUAGUCCAGAGAUAUGCCUAGCUUAAACACAGUGGCAUCGCUAAGGGAGCCAUGGUCCACCGAUCAUCAUGCCGUGCCUCCAAGUGACGACGCUGUUUCAUGGGCCGGCCUUAGGGUUGAGCUCACACAGCUACCCGGUGGAAGAUUUCAUUAUUCUCCACCCGGGAUUAUUAAAAAACCCAAAACAUUGUGACAGGGGCGGUGCAUACCAGGAAGCAGAGGUGUGGCUAAAAG